GUCUACAAUCGAGUUUUCAUUGACAAGUGACAACCUAUAAUUAGUUUUAUUUUUAUUCGUUUUCUCAAUUGUUUUGUUGAAAAUAAUUUUGCCGGUUCAUAAAUCUUUAAAAAAAUAAAAUAAAAUGACUAAAUUGGAAAUCUAGUAAGUGAGGAUCAGCUUAUCUCGCUGAUUAGCUGUCGCUAAUGUCCACUGCAGAUGAAGACAUUUCUUGGUGAUAUUGCUGAGCGCAACCGACAUCAGCUAUUUGAACACUGGAAUUUUCGACGGAUCAUUAUUGAACUCCCUGUAUAAAGGAUUUUUAUUUACUAAAUAUAUAUGGCAAAGAAAUAAAAAAUACAUAUAUGUUUAAACUUA